GACAAGGGAUGCAAGCGUUAUCCGGAAUGUUUGGGCGUAAAGCGUCUGUAGGUGGCUUUUUACGUCUGCCGUCAAAUCCCAGGGCUCAACCCUGGCCAGGUGGUGGAGACUACUAAGCUGGAGUACGGUAGGGGCAGAGGGAUUUUCCGGUCGAGCGUUGAAAUGCGUAGAUAUCGGAAUGAACACCUAGGGCUAAGCCUCGCUGCUGAGCCGAAUCUGACACUGAGAGACAAGAGCUAGGGGGGCAAAUGGG
rnacentral:rRNA from 1 species